rnacentral:rRNA from 1 species
GACGAACGCUGGCGGCGUGCUUAACACAUGCAAGUCGAACGGAAAGGCCCUGCUUUUGUGGGGUGCUCGAGUGGCGAACGGGUGAGUAACACGUGAGUAACCUGCCCUUGACUUUGGGAUAACUUCAGGAAACUGGGGCUAAUACCGGAUAGGAGCUCCUGCUGCAUGGUGGGGGUUGGAAAGUUUCGGCGGUUGGGGAUGGACUCGCGGCUUAUCAGCUUGUUGGUGGGGUAGUGGCUUACCAAGGCUUUGACGGGUAGCCGGCCUGAGAGGGUGACCGGCCACAUUGGGACUGAGAUACGGCCCAGACUCCUACGGGAGGCAGCAGUGGGGAAUAUUGCACAAUGGGCGGAAGCCUGAUGCAGCAACGCCGCGUGCGGGAUGACGGCCUUCGGGUUGUAAACCGCUUUCGCCUGUGACGAAGCGUGAGUGACGGUAAUGGGUAAAGAAGCACCGGCUAACUACGUGCCAGCAGCCGCGGUGAUACGUAGGGUGCGAGCGUUGUCCGGAUUUAUUGGGCGUAAAGGGCUCGUAGGUGGUUGAUCGCGUCGGAAGUGUAAUCUUGGGGCUUAACCCUGAGCGUGCUUUCGAUACGGGUUGACUUGAGGAAGGUAGGGGAGAAUGGGAUUCCUGGUGGAGCGGUGGAAUGCGCAGAUAUCAGGAGGAACACCAGUGGCGAAGGCGGUUCUCUGGGCCUUUCCUGACGCUGAGGAGCGAAAGCGUGGGGAGCGAACAGGCUUAGAUACCCUGGUAGUCCACGCUGUAAACGGUGGGUACUAGGUGUGGGGUCCAUUCCACGGGUUCCGUGCCGUAGCUAACGCUUUAAGUACCCCGCCUGGGGAGUACGGCCGCAAGGCUAAAACUCAAAGGAAUUGACGGGGCCCCGCACAAGCGGCGGAGCAUGCGGAUUAAUUCGAUGCAACGCGUAGAACCUUACCUGGGUUUGACAUGGAUCGGGAGUGCUCAGAGAUGGGUGUGCCUCUUUUGGGGUCGGUUCACAGGUGGUGCAUGCCUGUCGUCAGCUCGUGUCGUGAGAUGUUGGGUUAAGUCCCGCAACGAGCGCAACCCUUGUUCACUGUUGCCAGCACGUUAUGGUGGGGACUCAGUGGAGACCGCCGGGGUCAACUCGGAGGAAGGUGGGGAUGACGUCAAGUCCUCAUGCCCCUUAUGUCCAGGGCUUCACGCAUGCUACAAUGGCUGGUACAGAGAGUGGCGAGCCUGUGAGGGUGAGCGAAUCUCGGAAAGCCGGUCUCAGUUCGGAUUGGGGUCUGCAACUCGACCUCAUGAAGUCGGAGUCGCUAGUAAUCGCAGAUCAGCAACGCUGCGGUGAAUACGUUCCCGGGGC